CAGGCUGGUCUAGAACUUCUGACCUCUUGAUUUGCCUGCCACUACCUCCCAAAGUGCUUGGAUUACAGGUGUUCACCAGCGCGCCAGGCUGUAUUAUCUCCUUUUUAAAGGACCAUUUUGUUUGCAUACUACAGAACAGUUCCUUGUUCUUUGCAUUUGGUCUUUCCUACAGUUUGAGAGGAGCGCUUCCAGCUGUUUUUAGUAUCCAUCAUUUGUCUUAACCUUUCUAGGCUGUUUAUCUAGGUCCCUCAAUAACUGUAGUCAGAAUAAUAGCAAGCACUCAAUAUGGUGCUUACUGUGUGCCAGGCACUGUGGGAAAUGCCUGCAUAUAUUAACAGUUAAUCCUGUAACAAUCAUAUGAGAGAGAUUAUUACUGUCUACAUUGUAUAGAUGGUAAAACAGGUUCCAGAGAGAUUAAGUAGCUUGCCCAAGGGCGUACUGCUGCUAAGUGGCUGAAGGCAUACUGACUCUGCAGUGUAUACUCUUUUUCAAUAUUCAGUAAAAUUAAAAAAAAAAA